UAAGGAAUAUUGGACAAUGGAGGCAACUCUGAUCCAGCCAUGCCGCGUGAAGGAAUAAGGCCCUAUGGGUUGUAACCUUCUUUUAGACGGGACAAAACCCCUUUACGUGUAAAGGGUUGAUGGUACUGUCAGAAUAAGCAUCGGCUAACUUCGUGCCAGCAGCCGCGGUAAUACGAAGGAUGCAAGCGUUAUCCGGAAUUAUUGGGGUUAAAGGGUGCGUAGGCGGACUAAUUAGUCAGUGGUGAAAGCCUGCAGCUUAACUGCAGAAUUGCCAUUGAUACUGUUAGUCUUGAGUACAGUUGAGGUAGGCGGAAUGUGUCAUGUAGCGGUGAAAUGCUUAGAUAUGACACAGAACACCGAUUGCGAAGGCAGCUUGCUAAGCUGUAACUGACGCUGAGGCACGAAAGCGUGGGGAGCAAACA
rnacentral:rRNA from 1 species